rnacentral:tRNA from 2 species
GGUUCCAAGGUGUAAUGGUUAGCACUCUGGACUCUGAAUCCAGCGAUCCGAGUUCAAAUCCCGGUGGGACCU